GAUGAACGCUAGCGGCAGGCCUAACACAUGCAAGUCGAGGGGCAUCGCGGUGCAGCAAUGCACUGGCGGCGACCGGCGUACGGGUGCGUAACGCGUAUGCAACCUGCCCCGCACCGGGGGAUAGCCCCGCCGAAAGGCGGAUUAAUACCCCAUGGUCCCGGGGGCCCGCAUGGGCAUCCGGGUAAAGCCUUGGCGGUGCGGGAUGGGCAUGCGUGCCAUUAGCUGGCUGGUGGGGUAACGGCCCACCAGGGCAACGAUGGCUAGGGGGUCUGAGAGGAUGGUCCCCCACACUGGUACUGAGACACGGACCAUACACCUACGGGUGGCAGCAGUAGGGAAUAUUGGUAAUGCGCGAAAGCGUGAACCAGCAACGCCGCGUGUGCGAUGAAGGCCUUCGGGUUGUAAAGCACUUUUCGGGAGGAAGAGGAAGGACUGUACUCCCAGAAUAAGCCUCGGCUAACUACGUG
rnacentral:rRNA from 1 species